UACGAAGGGGGCGAGCGUUGUUCGGAAUUACUGGGCGUAAAGGGCGCGCAGGCGGCCUUAGAAGUCAGAUGUGAAAGCCCCGGGCUCAACCUGGGAAUGGCAUUUGAUACUCUGAGGCUGGAGUACGGGAGAGGAGAGUGGAAUUCCCAGUGUAGAGGUGAAAUUCGUAGAUAUUGGGAAGAACACCGGUGGCGAAGGCGGCGACCUGGUCCUUGACUGACGCUGAGGCGCGAAAGCGUGGGGAGCAAACAGG
rnacentral:rRNA from 1 species